rnacentral:rRNA from 1 species
CAGGGGGAUAACACUGAGAAAUCGGUACUAAUACCGCAUAACACUAUGAGAGGCAUCUCUUGUGGUUGAAAGUUUCGGCGGUUACAGAUGGGCAUGCGUUGUAUUAGCUGGUUGGUAAGGUAACGGCUUACCAAGGCGACGAUACAUAGGGGGACUGAGAGGUUAACCCCCCACAUUGGUACUGAGACACGGACCAAACUCCUA